UGAAUUCCUUGAAGUCAAACUGAUUAAUAAAUCAUUGCCGAAAAUUUUGGGAUCAUUUCAGUGACUUCUGUACCAAUUAAAGUAAUUACCGUGUUUGAUUGUUACUUUAAUAUUCCUUUUUGGGAUUAUUUGGAAUCACGUCACCAACACAAUCAUGCAAAACUGUUUAGGCGAACCAAUUCAUCACACAUAAAUAGGUUCCUAAUAAUCUUUGAGUGGAAACCCUCAAGAUCACCGAGGGUUCUUUUUCUGGACUCACUCAAUUUAACUAAGACGCAGACGUCACGUCAUUAGUUUGGGGCGUAAUUAGAGCGCCGUUCUCGUCAAACGCCAGUUAAAUGCCCAUAGCCGUUGCAGAACCUCUACCACCCAGAUAAGAUAUCUGUUUGUGCCGUCCCCUUUGUUUACCAAGAAGAUUUAAUUUGAUUUCCACCUGUUACCUACUUAAUUGUUACCUAUGUAGAAAAGUUGUGUUUUACGUUAAAGGAAAGGAAUUUGGUGUAACCCUGAUAUGAUCAUAUCUUGGAAUUUACGUUCUCAUGAGCCAUUUGGUUACGAUAAUUUUUUUUGCCUGAUUUUGUUAUUAAGUUUCCUUUCAAAGUAUUUUCGUUUAUUGUAAUAAAGAAAGUCUAUUAGAGCUAGCUGGCAGGUUGCUUACUGUCGCUCACUGAAAUCGAGAUAUGAGAAAUCUAUUUAUUUAAUGCCCUCCUUGAUCUACAGAUCCUACGUC